GUUUCUAAGGCUGAAUGGUAAAGCGAUGGGUCCCAGGUUCGAAUCCUGGUAAAGACU
rnacentral:tRNA from 1 species